UGCGUUCUCCGUUGCCCUGCUUCCCUCCUAUUAAUUUCUUUCCUUUCCUAUUAUUCUCUUCUGCUUUUUCUCUGCCCAACCCGAACCAUCUUCUGCUUCCUUUCCUUUUUUCCAUUGCAGCUCCUCCUCUGCAGGCCCGCGUGGUCAACUCUUGCCCUGACCGCUUCUCUUUACGACUUUUGCUGGCUACAACUCUUCCCCUCCUCUUCCCUUUCUGAUGAAACCUACAACUCUCUUUCCCCCUCCGUCCAAACAGAGAUAGCAGACAGACAAAUUAGAAGAAAAAUGGAAAACAAAACAGAACAGAGAGGAGGAGGACAGUAGAAGGACAGGCAAAGCUGAACAGAAAAACUGGACAAAACAAACGGAGGGGAGGAGGACUUCCUCACAGCUCAACCCGACUCCCUCAGCUCAACCCGAUCCUCUCAGCUCACGAAUUUCUCCCUCAGCUCACGAACUUCUUCCUCAGCUCACGAUCCUCUCAGCUCAGAGUAGACCAGCUCACACCCCACAACUCACUCACUCACUCCCUCACUCCCUCACUCUCCUUCUCUGAACAGACCAACUCUCAUUCAACAUCUCCCCCUCAUUUCGACUCCGGACAGACGAGGGGCCAAGCCUACACGACACAUCCCUCUCUUUCUCUCUCUAUCUCGGUUGAACACACGGGAACCGACUUCCCCUCUCUCGGACUUAACCUCUAACUAACUCUCUUCUUCAGUCACCCUAUCCCAGAAUGAAGACCAGCUUAUUCUCUCUCUUUUCCGUUUUGGCUGAAGCCUGCAACUCCUCCGUUGAUGCAGUCCCAAGCAUGCAAAACAUCAUCAACUUCCAUCCAUCCUCUUGCUCUUUCUCUUUUCUAACCGGCAGCACUCCCGUGCUCGGUUAUGGCUUUUCCCUUGGUCGGAACUCACUCCCACAAACCAACACCAGCUUAUCCUUUGCCCUCACCUAUAUCAACCUUCUCUGAACCAGUUCUGACUUUCAACGACGAGUCUCCUCGAGCUCUUCCUCAGCUUCAAGAAACUGCUGUGCUGUCCCUCAUUCGACUUCCUUGGAGUUGCUGCUGUAAACUUCGUCACUGCAUCCCCCACGACCGUCCCGAGUCAAAGUUGCUGUAGUUCGGGAUUCCCCCGAGCUCCCUACAGCUCCAUCGUGCUCAUAGCAUGGCAGCUCCUCCUUCCACAGCUAAGCCACAAGCUCAAGAGAACGCAUGGUGAGCCGUCUUUACUCCGAAAUCAUGCUUGACCGCUGAGUUGAGUUGGUAGAUGACUUUUGGUUCGAUUGGAUGAGUUUUGUUUGUUUAAAAACAAUGCUUAAGAACUAGGCUAAGCUAUAGAACGAAUCUUGGUUCGGGUAAGGUGGUUCAAGUUUGAUUUCGAUAUUUGAAGAUUGAGCUUGAGAUAAACGCUGAAUCAUAUCGCAGUUGUUUGACUGAUACGAGCAUGGUCAGUAAGAUAUCGGUAACUUGAAUCCGAGUUUAAGAUAGUGGCUGAGAUGCUUGACAGUUCAUGUGGGAUUUGGGAUAGUUUUGGGCGUGAUCUUAAAGGGUUUAUGCUAUGUGUAAGUGUAAAUGAGUGGUUUAACUAGUGGCCUUGGCUAUUUGUUGUGAUCAUCUACAUAUGAUAAUAUGGCAGUUUUUAUAGCCAAGGGUUUUAGGGCCUUCCUCUCUUACGAUCCUUGGCUUUACUGUCUCUCCAAAGUCGAUAUGGAAAAUUCUAGCAUGCUGAUCAGCCUUGGUAAGGGCCUUAGAGGCUUGUUUUUGGUCGCUUCGAGUCACUAGAUGAGCCGUCAUUACGCCUGGAUGUCUGAAUAUCGAUUUUCUUAACAUCUCACGCCAUUCGUGGUGUUAUGGAGUCAAGUUGUUUGGACUUUAAAGUCAUGAUUAGGUUUGAAUCGUAGUCUUGGAACUCAAUUCGUUAGUCUUAUUCUCGAUCCCGUUCAUGGCUAGAAUAUUUGCCUUUACCCCGAUUCUCUCGUGUUUGAUCUUUGUUUUGCAUGUUACCUCGAGCCUUGGAGUAAAGAGAAGAAAGCUGGAAUAGGUCGAUGCACGUGGGGCUCGAAGACGACGUGGACACUUACCUAGGCUUAGGUUGAGACCCGACUUGAAGGUCGCGUCGGUCCGCGGUAGUCAAGGAUCUUCCGAACUAGCUCAUCCAGAGAACUUCUUGGGAUUAUGGAUAACUCUCUACCUUACUAUCAUGAGAUAGGGCUUUCAAUGCUUGAUGAGUGGAUUCAAUGAGUUUAAUGUGAUUGUACGCCCAUGAUUCGUUUGCUUUGAAGUGAUCAUCCCUUUUAAUUAAAGACCUCACACGAAUUUGGAUUAA